rnacentral:rRNA from 1 species
CCUACGGGUGGCAGCAGUGGGGAAUAUUGGACAAUGGGCGAACGCCUGAUCCAGCCAUGCCGCGUGUGUGAAGAAGGCCUUCGGGUUGUAAAGCACUUUCAGUGGGGAAGAAAGCCUUGGGGCUAAUACCCUCGAGGAAGGACAUCACCCACAGAAGAAGCACCGGCUAACUCCGUGCCAGCAGCCGCGGUAAUACGGAGGGUGCGAGCGUUAAUCGGAAUUACUGGGCGUAAAGCGCGCGUAGGCGGUCUGAUAAGCCGGUUGUGAAAGCCCCGGGCUCAACCUGGGAACGGCAUCCGGAACUGUCAGGCUAGAGUGCAGGAGAGGAAGGUAGAAUUCCCGGUGUAGCGGUGAAAUGCGUAGAGAUCGGGAGGAAUACCAGUGGCAAAGGCGGCCUUCUGGACUGACACUGACGCUGAGGUGCGAAAGCGUGGGUAGCAAACAGGAUUAGAUACCCGAGUAGUC